rnacentral:piRNA from 1 species
UCACUUGUUGUUGAUCUGUGUCUAUCUC